GGACAGGAUAGCUGAAGGCUGGCAGAGAGCUUGGAAGGGAGGGCCACUCUCUGGUGGGGUGUGUGUGCGUGAGUGCGUGCAUGUGCGUGCGUGGCCGAGGUUGGCAUGUGAUAGGCGCUGCCAUGUUGCUGCUUGUCUCUGGCUUUUUGGCCUCUGACCCCACCGCCCAGUGCUCUCCAUCAGCACCGCAUAGCUGCCUGGGAGCCCUUGGGCCAGGGAGGGGACUUUGCUAGUCCCUGUGAUGAGUAGUCUCAGAGACCUGCCCAAGCUAGCCUGGCUGGCUGUGCUGAGACAAAGGGGAGUCUUGGAAGUAAAUAAAGCUGAAUUGUGAGAAUUGG